rnacentral:rRNA from 1 species
AUUGAACGCUGGCGGAAUGCUUUACACAUGCAAGUCGAACGGCAGCACGGACUUCGGUCUGGUGGCGAGUGGCGAACGGGUGAGUAAUACAUCGGAACGUGCCCAGUCGUGGGGGAUAACGUAGCGAAAGCUACGCUAAUACCGCAUACGAUCUAAGGAUGAAAGCGGGGGAUCGCAAGACCUCGCGUGAUUGGAGCGGCCGAUGGCAGAUUAGCUAGUUGGUGGGGUAAAGGCCUACCAAGGCGACGAUCUGUAGCGGGUCUGAGAGGAUGAUCCGCCACACUGGGACUGAGACACGGCCCAGACUCCUACGGGAGGCAGCAGUGGGGAAUUUUGGACAAUGGGCGCAAGCCUGAUCCAGCCAUGCCGCGUGAGUGAAGAAGGCCUUCGGGUUGUAAAGCUCUUUCGGCCGGGAGGAAAUCGCACCAGUUAAUACCUGGUGUGGAUGACGGUACCGGAAUAAGAAGCACCGGCUAACUACGUGCCAGCCGCCGCCGUAAAAC